rnacentral:rRNA from 1 species
GACGAACGCUGGCGGCGUGCUUAACACAUGCAAGUCGAACGGAAAGGCCCUGCUUUUGUGGGGUGCUCGAGUGGCGAACGGGUGAGUAACACGUGAGUAACCUGCCCUUGACUUUGGGAUAACUUCAGGAAACUGGGGCUAAUACCGGAUAGGAGCUCCUGCUGCAUGGUGGGGGUUGGAAAGUUUCGGCGGUUGGGGAUGGACUCGCGGCUUAUCAGCUUGUUGGUGGGGUAGUGGCUUACCAAGGCUUUGACGGGUAGCCGACCUGAGAGGGUGACCGGCCACAUUGGGACUGAGGUACGGCCCAGACGCCAACGGGAGGCAGCAGUGGGGAAUAUGACACAAUGAGCGGAAGCCUGAUGCAGCAACGCCGCGUGCGGGAUGACGGCCUGCUGGUUGUAAACCGCUUUCGCCUGUGACGAAGCGUGAGUGACGGUAAUGGAUAAAGAAGCACCGGCUAACUACGUG